rnacentral:rRNA from 1 species
UACAGAGGACCCAAGCAUUAUCCGGAAUCACUGGGCGUAAAGGGUGUAAAGGCGGUCAUAUUAGUCUUUUGUUAAAUCCGUGGGCUCAACCUACGGCUCGCAAGAGAAACGGUAUGACUUGAGGUUGGGAGAGGUGUGUGGAACUCACGGUGUAGGGGUGAAAGCCGUUGAUAUCGUGGGGAACACCAAAGGCGAAGGCAGCACACUGGCCCAAAUCUGACGCUCACACACGAAAGCCAGGGUAGCGAAUGGU